UUGUGUGGCCAAACCUCCUUGUCAAAGCCUGAUCUCGUCAGAUCUUAGAAGCUAAGCAGGGCUGAGCCUGAUUAAUACUUGGAUGGGAGAAAGCUGGAGAAAGCUGGGGCAGCAGUGG
rnacentral:rRNA from 1 species